AUUGAACGCUGGCGGCAGGCCUAACACAUGCAAGUCGAGCGGAGCGGCGGACGGGUGAGUAAUUCCUAGGAAUCUGCCUGGUAGUUGGGGCUAACGUCCGUACACGGGCGCUAAUACCGCAUCCUAUCAGAUGAGCCUAGGUCGGAUUAGCUAGUUGGUGAGGUAAAGGCCUACCAAGGCGACGAUCCGUAACUGGGCUGAGAGGAUGAUCAGUCACACUGGAACUGAGACACGGUCCAGACUCCUACGGGAGGCAGCAGUGGGGAAUAUUGGACAAUGGGCGAAAGCCUGAUCCAGCGAUGCCGCGUGUGUGAAGAAGGUCUUCGGAUUGUAAAGCUCUUUAAGUUGGGAGGCGGUACCAAAAGAAUAAGCACCGGCUAACUUCGUGCCAGCAGCCGCGGUAAUUC
rnacentral:rRNA from 1 species